GACGAACGCUGGCGGCGUGCUUAACACAUGCAAGUCGAACGGUGACGGAGAGCUUGCUCUCCUGAUCAGUGGCGAACGGGUGAGUAACACGUGGGCAACCUGCCCCAGACUCCGGGAUAACGCUUCGAAAGAGGUGCUAAUACCGGAUACGAACUCCUUGGGCAUCCUUGGAGUUGGAAAGUUUUUCGGUCUGGGAUGGGCCCGCGGCCUAUCAGCUAGUUGGUGAGGUAACGGCUCACCAAGGCGACGACGGGUAGCCGGCCUGAGAGGGCGACCGGCCACACUGGGACGGAGGCACGGCCCAGACUCCUACGGGAGGGAGCAGUGGGGAAGAUUGCGCAAUGGGCGAAAGCCUGACGCAGCAACGCCGCGUGAGGGAUGACGGCCUUCGGGUUGUAAACCUCUUUCAGCAGGGAAGAAGCGAAAGUGACGGUACCUGCAGAAGAAGCACCGGCUAACUACGUGCCAGCCGCCGCAGUAAUAG
rnacentral:rRNA from 1 species